ACUGAGUAUGGCGGUGCACUCGAAAGGCUGAGAUUGGUGGAUCACUUGAGCUCUGGAGUUCUGAGCUGCACUGGACUUGACUGAUUUGUUGUGUGCACUAAGCCUAACAACAAUAUGGUGAACCCCUUGGAAGUAGGGGCCACCAGGGUGCCUAUGGAGGAGCAAAACUGGCCCAGAUCAGAAAUGGAAGAGAUUGAUGCUCCUGUAUUAACCAGUAAUAGAAUCGGGCCCUUGAGUGACCAGUACAAUUCUAGCCUAAGUGAGAUAGGAUCU
rnacentral:SRP_RNA from 1 species